rnacentral:rRNA from 1 species
GAACUUAAGCAUAUCAAUAAGCGGAGGAAAAGAAACCAACAGGGAUUGCCUCAGUAACGGCGAGUGAAGCGGCAACAGCUCAAAUUUGAAAUCUGGCCGCAAGGUCCGAGUUGUAAUUUGUAGAGGAUGCUUUUGGCGAGGUGCCUUCCGAGUUCCCUGGAACGGGACGCCAUAGAGGGUGAGAGCCCCGUACGGUAGGACCACCAAGCCUCUGUAAAGCUCCUUCGACGAGUCGAGUAGUUUGGGAAUGCUGCUCUAAAUGGGAGGUGUACGUCUUCUAAAGCUAAAUACCGGCCAGAGACCGAUAGCGCACAAGUAGAGUGAUCGAAAGAUGAAAAGCACUUUGAAAAGAGGGUUAAAAAGUACGUGAAAUUGUUGAAAGGGAAGCAUUCAUGACCAGACUUGGGCUUGGUUGAACAUCCGGCGUUCUCGCCGGUGCACUCUGCCAGUCCAGGCCAGCAUCAGUUUGCCCCGGGGGAUAAAGGCGGCGGGAAUGUGGCUCCCUUCGGGGAGUGUUAUAGCCCGUCGUGUAAUGCCCUGGGGCGGACUGAGGAACGCGCUUCGGCACGGAUGCUGGCGUAAUGGUCAUCAAUGACCCGUCUUGAAACACGGACCAAGGAGUCGUCUUCGUAUGCGAGUGUUCGGGUGUCAAACCCCUACGCGUAAUGAAAGUGAACGUAGGUGAGAGCUUCGGCGCAUCACCGACCGAUCCUGGUGUUCUCGGAUGGAUUUGAGUAAGAGCAUACGGGGCCGGACCCGAAA